AACGCUAGCUACAGGCUUAACACAUGCAAGUCGAGGGGCAUCGGGCGUUGGACUUGUCCGACGUGCCGGCGACCGGCGAAUGGGUGAGUAACGCGUAUCCAACCUGCCCGCCAGCCAGGGACAGCCUCCCGAAAGGGAGAUUAAUACCUGACGUUGUGACGAUAGGGCAUCCUGUUGUCACGGAAGAUUUAUCGUUGGUGGAUGGGGAUGCGUCCGAUUAGCUUGUUGGUACGGUAACGGCGUACCAAGGCUACGAUCGGUAGGGGUUCUGAGAGGAAGGUCCCCCACAUUGGAACUGAGACACGGUCCAAACUCCUACGGGAGGCAGCAGUGAGGAAUAUUGGUCAAUGGGCGGAAGUCUGAACCAGCCAAGUAGCGUGAGGGAAGACUGCCCUAUGGGUUGUAAACCUCUUUUGUUUGGGAGCAAAGUGCGCCACGUGUGGUGUAUUGCGAGUACCAUUCGAAUAAGCAUCGGCUAAUUCCGUGCCAGCAGCCGCGGUAAUACGAAAGAUGCGAGCGUUGUCCGGAUUUAUUGGGUUUAAAGGGAGCGUAGGCGGAGCGUCAAGUCAGCUGUGAAAUGUCGCGGCUCAACCGUGGAGCUGCAGUUGAAACUGGCGUUCUUGAGUAUACAUAAGGAUGGUGGAAUUCGUGGUGUAGCGGUGAAAUGCUUAGAUAUCACGAAGAACUCCGAUUG
rnacentral:rRNA from 1 species